CUUCCUUUCCUCUUUCAGAUAACCACUUGUCCUUGCACUAUUGAUUGAAAACAUCUUUAUCUCCACUGCUCUGCUGUGUUACUUUGUCAUAGUGAAGGGUCUAUACAUGUAUGAGUCUGUUUCAAGAUAUAUGAAGUCUGGGGGUAAGACCUGCAGUAAUUUCCCUUAAGAUAGCACCUUCUCUGCUGUGCUGCCUGUUGCACUCUUGCAAUAUAUCUCUUUGAGUACAACUGUUUUGGGGUGAGGUGAAAACAGGUGUUGAAAUGGGAAUUGUGUGCCUAAAGAAGAGGAAGGAGUCUGGAUACACAGGUAAAUUUUGUAAGCUGGAAACUACCGGUUUCAUAUAUUUUGUUCAUCACCCAAAAAAUUGCAAUAUCAGUUAAGGUUUGUCUUUCAUUGUCUCCCCAAGUGUAAGCAUAUUCCAUUGUUUAAUAGUGUCUGUGUAAGAAGCAUUAAUUUUUUUCAAGGAUAAUUUUUCAAUAUGGCACCUGUUCAAAAACUAAAUUAGACUCUGAGACUGCAGUAUUACUUCCUCUUACAUCACACAGCAUUUCAACGAAAAUGCACAAGAAUGCUUCCAUUGGCAGAAGUUAUAUAUACAUUUUUCGUAGUGUCCUGUUUAGGCAAUUUUUAAAAUAACAGUAGAGGCGUUAAUUGCUAUAGUUACCUCAAAGGCAAAAUCUCAACUUAAAUCCAAUGGCUUGGCUUUGCAUCUUGAUAUAAGUCUUAGGGCAAAUAAUCUAAAGCCAAAAUAUGAUCACAAACUAUUAUUUUGCAUUUUAGCCUAUAUUAGGGAGACAUAAUAAAGUCCACUGGAAGAUGAGCUAUGGAAACACUCUUAAAAGCUGUCAGUCUUAUGUGCUCACUGAUCUUUGAAAGAGGCGAGAUAUAUAUAUAUUUUGG